CCGGCUAACUACGUGCCAGCAGCCGCGGUAAUACGUAGGGUGCGAGCGUUAAUCGGAAUUACUGGGCGUAAAGCGUGCGCAGGCGGUUCGUUAAGACAGAUGUGAAAUCCCCGGGCUUAACCUGGGAACUGCAUUUGUGACUGGCGAGCUAGAGUAUGGCAGAGGGGGGUAGAAUUCCACGUGUAGCAGUGAAAUGCGUAGAGAUGUGGAGGAAUACCGAUGGCGAAGGCAGCCCCCUGGGCCAAUACUGACGCUCAUGCACGAAAGCGUGGGGAGCAAACAGGAUUAGAUANCCCUGGUAGUCCACGCCCUAAACGAUGUCAACUAGUUGUUGGGUCUUCAUUGACUUAGUAACGUAGCUAACGCGUGAAGUUGACCGCCUGGGGAGUACGGUCGCAAGAUUAAAACUCAAAGGAAUUGACGGGGACCCGCACAAGCGGUGGAUGAUGUGGAUUAAUUCGAUGCAACGCGAAAAACCUUACCUACCCUUGACAUGGUCGGAACCCUGCUGAAAGGUGGGGGUGCUCGAAAGAGAACCGAUACACAGGUGCUGCA
rnacentral:rRNA from 1 species